AAUUAAAAAGAGAAGAUGAAAAAUGUAAAAAACUUAAAAAAUCUAUUUUUGACAUGUAUCAUGGAGGUGUGUAUAUAUGUAUGGCUUAAAUUUGAUGGUAUAAGUGCUAGUUAACUCUACCACAUGGAUGAAUAAAAAGUGAUCUAGACGUGGAUGAGAAUUUAUUAGUGGCCACCUUGAAAAAUAUAACUGUUGUAGCAAGUGUUAUCUGUAUCAAUGUAAAGUGUGUACCUAUCCAUGUUGGUAGCUAGGGAUCCCUUAUAUCCUCCUUGAUACUAGUUUAAAAGCGACAUCAUACGAUAAAAUCUCAAUGGUGCAAAAUUCGUAACUGUUGGAGACGUCUAAAGAAACUCUCAAUGUAAGAGCGAAAAGAAAACUUG
rnacentral:lncRNA from 1 species